GAUGAAGAACGCAGUGAAAUGCGAUAAGUAAUGUGAAUUGCAGAAUUCAGUGAAUCAUCGAAUCUUUGAACGCACAUUGCGCCCGCUAGUAUUCUGGCGGGCAUGCCUGUCCGAGCGUCAUUUCAACCCUCAAGCCCCCGGGCUUGGUGUUGGGGAUCGGCGAGCCUCCGCGCCCGCCGUCCCCUAAAUCUAGUGGCGGUCUCGCUGUAGCCUCCUCUGCGUAGUAGCACACCUCGCACUGGGAAACAGCGCGGCCACGCCGUUAAACCCCCAACUUCUGAACGUUUGACCUCGGAUCAGGUAGGAAUACCCGCUGAACUUAAGCAUAUCAAUAAGCGGAGGA
rnacentral:misc_RNA from 1 species